UACGUAGGGUGCGAGCGUUGCCCGGAUUUAUUGGGCGUAAAGGGCGCGUAGGCGGCCACGCACGUCCGUUGUGAAAUCGCCCGGCUCAACUGGGCGGGGUCGGCGGAUACGGCGUGGCUGGAGCAAGCUAGGGGGCAAUGGAAUUCCCGGUGUAGUGGUGGAAUGCGUAGAUAUCGGGAGGAACACCAGUGGCGAAGGCGGCUCACUGGACCGGUUCUGACGCUGAGGCGCGAAAGCGUGGGGAGCAAACGGG
rnacentral:rRNA from 1 species